UUUCGCAGGGCUGGCUGGGAUUCCUCAGCGUGUUCCCCGUAGCUCAACGAGCUGUCCGUGAUCCCAAGCUCAUGGCAGGUGCCGGGGAGAAGACAUCGAUCUCCACAGAGCUAGUUUUUCUCUCGAGUGCUGCACAGUUGAAGUACAGCCGGCUGAAUUUCACAAAGGAGAUGCUACCACCCCUUACUGGAGAGCGCCUGACAUUGCGACUGCCAGAAGUAGCAAGAACAUGCGUUGUGCCUUAAAAUCAGUGCCUGGCUGAUCGCUUAAACCUUCUACCUGUGCUUGUGGGUGUGAUUUGGACUGCACUAAGAGAAACACAGGUUCUGCUUCAGCUCCACAGACCAGCCCUACUUGAACAGAAGGUAAAGGCGCCCAGCGAAAAGCACCCAGAUACUACAAAAGUUACAAAGCGGUCUGACUAUUCUGUUCAUUCUGUUCCUACCAGUACUGCGAAGGGAAAAACAGGUGAUCAAUCUUCAUGAUCCGUUCCGUGGCGAGCUGGGAAAAAAAAAUGCAGUUGCUAAUCAAUGUCUGAACAGUCUGAAGCUCCGGAAGAGAUCCAAGGAGUCACUAUCAAACUAUCCUGUAGCAUG